CAGCCGCCGCGGUAAUACGAAGGGGGCUAGCGUUGUUCGGAAUUACUGGGCGUAAAGCGCACGUAGGCGGAUAUUUAAGUCAGGGGUGAAAUCCCGCAGCUCAACUGCGGAACUGCCUUUGAUACUGGGUAUCGUGAGUAUGGAAGAGGUUAGUGGAAUUGCGAGUGUAGAGGUGAAAUUCGUAGAUAUUCGGAAGAACACCAGUGGCGAAGGCGGCUCACUGGCUCAUACUGGACGCUGAGGUGCGAAAGCGUGGGGAGCAAACAGGAUUAGAUACCCCCGUAGUCCCUGUCUCUUAUAC
rnacentral:rRNA from 1 species